GACGAACCGUCCAAACGUUAUUCGGAAUUACUGGGCUUAAAGGGUGCGUAGGCGGCUCGGAAAGUUGGGUGUGAAAUCCCUCGGCUCAACCGAGGAACUGCGCUCAAUACUACCGUGCUCGAGGGAGAUAGAGGUGAGCGGAACUUAGGGUGGAGCGGUGAAAUGCGUUGAUAUCCUAAGGAACACCGGUGGCGAAAGCGGAUCUCUGGGCCUUACCUGACGCUCAGGUGCGAAAGCUAGGGGAGCGAACAGG
rnacentral:rRNA from 1 species